rnacentral:rRNA from 1 species
CCUACGGGGUGCACCAGUGGGGAAUAUUGCACAAUGGGCGCAAGCCUGAUGCAGCCAUGCCGCGUGUAUGAAGAAGGCCUUCGGGUUGUAAAGUACUUUCAGUGGGGAGGAAGGCGAUAAGGUUAAUAACCUUGUCGAUUGACGUUACCCGCAGAAGAAGCACCGGCUAACUCCGUGCCAGCAGCCGCGGUAAUACGGAGGGUGCAAGCGUUAAUCGGAAUUACUGGGCGUAAAGCGCACGCAGGCGGUUUGUUAAGUCAGAUGUGAAAUCCCCGGGCUCAACCUGGGAACUGCAUCUGAUACUGGCAAGCUUGAGUCUCGUAGAGGGGGGUAGAAUUCCAGGUGUAGCGGUGAAAUGCGUAGAGAUCUGGAGGAAUACCGGUGGCGAAGGCGGCCCCCUGGACGAAGACUGACGCUCAGGUGCGAAAGCGUGGGGAGCAAACAGGAUUAGAUACCCCGGUAGUC